GACGAACGCUGGCGGCGUGCUUAACACAUGCAAGUCGAACGAUGAAGCCGGAGCUUGCUCUGGUGAAUUAGUGGCGAACGGGUGAGUAACACGUGAGUAACCUGCCCUUGACUCUGGGAUAACUGCUAGAAAUGGUAGCUAAUACCGGAUACGACCCUCGGAGGCAUCUCCAGGGGGUGGAAAGAAUUUCGGUCAAGGAUGGACUCGCGGCCUAUCAGCUAGUUGGUGAGGUAAUGGCUCACCAAGGCGACGACGGGUAGCCGGCCUGAGAGGGUGACCGGCCACACUGGGACUGAGACACGGCCCAGACUCCUACGGGAGGCAGCAGUGGGGAAUAUUGCACAAUGGGCGCAAGCCUGAUGCAGCAACGCCGCGUGAGGGAUGACGGCCUUCGGGUUGUAAACCUCUUUUAGUAGGGAAGAAGCGAAAGUGGCGGUACCUGCAGAAAAAGCACCGGCUAACUACGUGCCAGCCGCCGCUGUAA
rnacentral:rRNA from 1 species